GAACGCUGGCGGCGUGCCUAAUACAUGCAAGUCGAGCGAAUGGAUUAAGAGCUUGCUCUUAUGAAGUUAGCGGCGGACGGGUGAGUAACACGUGGGUAACCUGCCCAUAAGACUGGGAUAACUCCGGGAAACCGGGGCUAAUACCGGAUAACAUUUUGAACUGCAUGGUUCGAAAUUGAAAGGCGGCUUCGGCUGUCACUUAUGGAUGGACCCGCGUCGCAUUAGCUAGUUGGUGAGGUAACGGCUCACCAAGGCCACGAUGCAUAGCCGACCUGAGAGGGUGAUCGGCCACAUUGGGACUGAGACACGGCCCAAACUCCUACGGGAGGCAGCAGUAGGGAAUCUUCGGCAAUGGACGAAAGUCUGACCGAGCAACGCCGCGUGAGUGAAGAAGGUUUUCGGAUCGUAAAACUCUGUUGUUAGAGAAGAACAAGUGCUAGUUGAAUAAGCUGGCACCUUGACGGUACCUAACCAGAAAGCCACGGCUAACUACGUGCCAGCAGCCGCGGUAAUACGUAGGUGGCAAGCGUUGUCCGGAUUUAUUGGGCGUAAAGCGAGCGCAGGCGGUUUCUUAAGUCUGAUGUGAAAGCCCCCGGCUCAACCGGGGAGGGUCAUUGGAAACUGGGAGACUUGAGUGCAGAAGAGGAGAGUGGAAUUCCAUGUGUAGCGGUGAAAUGCGUAGAGAUAUGGAGGAACACCAGUGGCGAAGGCGACUUUCUGGUCUGUAACUGACGCUGAGGCUCGAAAGCGUGGGGAGCAAACAGGAUUAGAUACCCUGGUAGUCCACGCCGUAAACGAUGAGUGCUAAGUGUUAGAGGGUUUCCGCCCUUUAGUGCUGAAGUUAACGCAUUAAGCACUCCGCCUGGGGAGUACGGCCGCAAGGCUGAAACUCAAAGGAAUUGACGGGGGCCCGCACAAGCGGUGGAGCAUGUGGUUUAAUUCGAAGCAACGCGAAGAACCUUACCAGGUCUUGACAUCCUCUGAAAACCCUAGAGAUAGGGCUUCUCCUUCGGGAGCAGAGUGACAGGUGGUGCAUGGUUGUCGUCAGCUCGUGUCGUGAGAUGUUGGGUUAAGUCCCGCAACGAGCGCAACCCUUGAUCUUAGUUGCCAUCAUUAAGUUGGGCACUCUAAGGUGACUGCCGGUGACAAACCGGAGGAAGGUGGGGAUGACGUCAAAUCAUCAUGCCCCUUAUGACCUGGGCUACACACGUGCUACAAUGGACGGUACAAAGAGCUGCAAGACCGCGAGGUGGAGCUAAUCUCAUAAAACCGUUCUCAGUUCGGAUUGUAGGCUGCAACUCGCCUACAUGAAGCUGGAAUCGCUAGUAAUCGCGGAUCAGCACGCCGCGGUGAAUACGUUCCCGGGCCUUGUACACACCGCCCGUCACACCACGAGAGUUUGUAACACCCGAAGUCGGUGAGGUAACCUUUUUGGAGCCAGCCGCCUAAGGUGGGACAGAUGAUUGGGGUGAAG
rnacentral:rRNA from 1 species